rnacentral:misc_RNA from 1 species
GAAAAUGAAGGGACCAAAAACUCGAAAUAUGAAAAAAAUGGCCAUAGAAUUUGUUACCACAUUUAUUUGUAGAGGCGCAAUUCUAACCGAACUCAAGUAUCAUGGGCCAAAAGAUUUGGGACAGAUACUAGCUCAUUGAGUUCAGAAUUCGAAUCCAUGACGUUGGUUAUAAUAUCAAUUAUAGUAGUAUAACAAUUCAAGUACGAUGAGCCGAAAGGAUUUAGGUAGAAUACUAACCUGGUAAGUUAUCCCACUUAAUAUGAAUAGAG